UCCUACGGGAGGCAGCAGUGAGGAAUAUUGGUCAAUGGGCGCAAGCCUGAACCAGCCAUCCCGCGUGCAGGAAGACGGCGCUAUGCGUUGUAAACUGCUUUUCCAGGGAGAGAGACUUGCGCACGUGUUGCGCAAUUGACGGUACCCUGGGAAUAAGCAUCGGCUAACUCCGUGCCAGCAGCCGCGGUAAUACGGAGGAUGCGAGCGUUAUCCGGAUUCAUUGGGUUUAAAGGGUGCGUAGGCGGACUAUUAAGUCAGUGGUGAAAUCCUGCAGCUUAACUGCAGAACUGCCAUUGAUACUGAUAGCCUUGGGUUUGGUUAAGGUAGGCGGAAUGUGUAAUGUAGCGGUGAAAUGCUUAGAUAUUACACAGAACACCAAUUGCGUAGGCAGCUUACUGAGCCGACACUGACGCUGAGGCACGAAAGCGUGGGGAUCGAACAGGAUUAGAUACCCUGGUAGUCCACGCCGUAAACGAUGAUUACUCGCUGUUGGCGAUACACUGUCAGCGGCUAAGCAAAAGCAAUAAGUAAUCCACCUGGGGAGUACGGCCGCAAGGUUGAAACUCAAAGGAAUUGACGGA
rnacentral:rRNA from 1 species